UACGUAGGGUGCAAGCGUUGUCCGGAAUUAUUGGGCGUAAAGGGCUCGUAGGCGGUCCAUCACGUCGGGAGUGAAAAGCUGGGGCUUAACCCCAGUCCUGCUUCCGAUACGGGUGGACUAGAGGUAGGCAGGGAGAACGGAAUUCCUGGUGUAGCGGUGAAAUGCGCAGAUAUCAGGAGGAACACCGGUGGCGAAGGCGGUUCUCUGGGCCUUACCUGACGCUGAGGCGCGAAAGCUAGGGGAGCAAACAGG
rnacentral:rRNA from 1 species